GAGCCUAAACCUAAAAAAAUUGAAUAAAAAAUGGAAGAAGCCCAUUCAGGAACAAGAAAAUGCAUCACGAUUUGGAGUUUAUCUCGAUGAAAAAAAACAUCAAUGAUGAGAUAAGAAUUUAUAUUCUUGGAAAUAGUAUAUGCUUAAUAAAUUAUUGUAUUAUUGGAUCAUAUUUGCUAGUUCUAGUCGAUAAAAUUUCAAGCAUUUUCAUAAAAAUGAUUAAUUAUAGGUAGCUUCAUAUAUCACUAAUGAGUUGUUAGCUAAUAGGUAGCUUCAUGUAUUAUUAACCAAAUUCUACGUGAUACCAAAGAUGUGUAAUAUGAAAGAUGUAUGGGAGGUUGUGUUAAGAUGGUGAUGUUUGCGAUAGCAGGAAAACAAGUUGACUAGUCCUCAUGGUGUGGGAUGACGUGUUAAUAGGAAAAAUGAA
rnacentral:lncRNA from 1 species